rnacentral:misc_RNA from 1 species
AACCUGCUGUUUCUGCAAAUGCAAAGUUUGACAGAUGGAACCGACGGGGACUGGAAUAACUUUGCCGAGCUUCCACCUCCUUGGUUGAAGGUGUCAACAUACCUUGCUCGUACACCCAUCCGCCCACGAGCUGAGAACUGAUUUGAACUGGUUGGAAUAGGUGGAAUCCCUGAAGAGUGUUCCAAAGGAGUUGGAGUCUUAAAUGUUGGGCUCCCAUUGGUGGGAGAUCCAUCACUCUUCAGUGCAGAUUUCAAGUUGUAGUCGGACAUUCCAUUCUGGAAGGCUGAAGUUGUAGGAGGGGGUGGCAAGGCUGCUUCUUCAGCUGGAGGUUCAGCACCUUCCUCUACCCAUCUCUUAAGCUUUUCAUCAUA